GUGCCAGCAGCCGCGGUAACACGUAGGGGGCGAGCGUUGUCCGGAUUUAUUGGGCGUAAAGAGCUCGUAGGCGGUUUGGCAAGUCGGGUGUGAAAUUUCGAGGCUCAACCUCGAAACGCCACUCGAUACUGCCAUGACUGGAGUCCGGUAGAGGAGUGCGGAAUUCCUGGUGUAGCGGUGAAAUGCGCAGAUAUCAGGAGGAACACCAACGGCGAAGGCAGCACUCUGGGCCGGUACUGACGCUGAGGAGCGAAAGCGUGGGGAGCAAACAGGAUUAGAAACCCCCGUAGUCC
rnacentral:rRNA from 1 species